CUAAAAUAUGUAAUGAAUCUAAUGCAAAAACACAAAGAAUUUGUGUGGCAGUAUGAAUGAUCCUCCAGUUCACCAGUCCCUUUAGAACAUCCCAUAAUUCAGAAAACAAAUAUCUUUAUUUAUAUUGAACUCUAUGAGAUGGCACUGUUUCAGUUAUGCACUACUUGCAGUUAACCAUAAGAGGGCAGUAGUUACUCAACAUUUCCUUUGACAAUACAGAAGCUUUAUUGGGUAUCCACAAGCUCCUCCUUGGAUCAUCAUUAUUAUAAUACUAAAAGUAAAAUUCUCCCACUGCUGAUUUAUCUGAACUUCAAGGUUUAUUCAGCAGUCAUGUCACACAAGUUGAGGAAUAUAUUUCUCUUCACACUCUUCAUUCUUGAGUGCAGAUCAGAGGACACAGUUGAUCAGCCAGACAAACAUGUGACUGAAGCUGAAGGAAGAUCAGUGACAUUACAGUGUAAAUAUAAAACAGAUUCACCACAAGAACAUUUAUUCUGGUACAUCCAGAGAGCAAAUGACUUUCCUAAAUACAUCCUGAGGAGAAGCAAAUAUGGAGGAGAAAAUGGCACUGAGUUCCAGGAGAGAUUUCACUCUGAACUUUCAUCAAAUUCAGUUCCUCUGAAGAUCAAGGAUCUGCGUGUGUCUGACUCUGCUGUGUAUUACUGUGCUCUGAGGCCCACAGUCACAGGAAACACAUCAGAUCUUUACAAAAACCUGUUACAACGAGAGACGAGAAAGAUCAGCUUAUUAUAAAAGUGAUCAAAUAUAAACUAAAUGUAUUCUAAAGUGAGUCAAUCUUUGGCAAUAUAAAGAUGAAUCACAUUAAAACCAAUAUUGUCUUACUGUAGUUGACAAAUCAAUUUGAUAAAUAAAAAGAAACUGUAAAAUGUCAAAUGAUUCUCAUGUAAUAUAAAGCACACAUUCAAACUGAGCUGUUACUUGUUCUAAAUUAUGGUUAUAAAAUAGCUAGCUAAAUAUACAUAACUAUAAAGUAAAUAUUCUUCAUAUUUCCAUCAGUUAAUAUUUUCAUGAGUAAUGAGAGGAAAUUAGACUGAAAAAUGCGAAGACAUCUAGUAUUUAAAGGU